UCUAAUUUUACUUAUGUGUUGAAAUUUUAAGUAAUUGCAGGUCACCUGAGAGUGACUUGAUGUGCUCUGUUUAGACACUAUGAACAUGUAACUUGUUAAAUUUAUAUUAAUCUGUUUUGAUUUUUAUGAUUAAAACAUAGAUGGAUGUGAUGUAUAAGAUUAUGGGAUGGAUGUGAUGUAGAAGAUUGUUAGUUUAAAAUGAUUGACAGGAUUGCACCAUGCCAUUGUAGAGGCACCCAAAAAUAUGUCCACAGGUCAUGUCUUGACAAUUGGAGGUCUGCCAGGUGACAGGGAAAGUCAGAAUAUGCGGUUGGAUCCUGUCUCAUCAUCGCUCCCCAUCUCAGGCCCGGAAGACAACCCCUAACCGAGUUAGACUUAGCCAACCUACUCUCCACUCUAAUAUGGUGGGUGCGCAAUGUGCAUAUUGUACUAGAUCCCUUCUACCCCAUAUGAGUGGAUCUCGACAAUCAAUUCGGCUCUUCACACCCAUAAUCAUAGUUACAACAACAGGAGCUACAAGAACUUCACUCUGCCCUUGAAGAAGCUAAAGCUGACAUUGUUUCCUCUUGGGUCCUUAAUU